UURGAGACCCUAUUAUUUCAUNUUGUAAAAAUUUUAUACCUAAGUAUUACGAGAUUAUUAAUUAAAAUUUAUAAAAGUUUUAAAACUUAAAAGGUUUGGCGGUUUUACAAAUCCGGUUAGGGGAGCUUGGUAAUUAAAUUGAUAAUCCACAUUUUAAACUUWCUUUUUUUUGAAUAUAUAUUUAUAUAUAUACAGUUUGUAUAUUGCUGUCUAUAGUUUAUGCUUAAAGGUAUAAAAAACUUUUAAAUUUUUAGGUUUUUAUGUCAAGUCAUAAUGCAAUAAAUGAAGAAGGUUUAGUGAGCUACUAUUAUAAAUUU
rnacentral:rRNA from 1 species